GUCUCCCUCCCUCCCUCCCUAUUUCAAAAUCGAGAGGUAGGUUAGGGUGAUAGAUAGGAACCGGCCCCUGGCAUCUCUGGGUAGGCCUGAGAAAAGACCCCGUCUGAAAUCCUGGAGUGCUGCUGCCGGUCAGUGCAGACAACACCAAGCCAAAGGGACCAGCGGUGUGACUCUGUACAAGGCAACGUCCUGCGUUUUGUUCCCUCUUGUUGCCCGCUGCAAAAUUUCACCGACCUGUGAACAAAAUGGAGACCACAAAGGAUUUCCUGGCUUCCUCGAUGUUCCCGGCCCCUAAGGCGUUGCCCACCAGGACGCUGACGGCGGCGCUGAUCCCGAACGGAAUCUGAAAAGGGGCGAGAGGACGGCCGCUGCUCAGCAGGGGCUCUACCACUGAUCUACAAUCCUUUCCACGCAUGGCCUCUUAAUGGGCCCCGUUGGGAACAACAAGAAGGUGAAUUGGCCAACUCACUGGAAGCGCAGGAAUGAAGAUCAUGACGUAAACUUGUAGAGGAGUUUUUCCCUGGGCCUACCUGGAAAUGGAACCUGGGAUCUUGUGGCCACAAAGCAGGUGCUCUGUCAUUGAUCUACAGCCCUGCCCCAAAGUUAACGGACAAUUCGUUAUCCCCUUGAAGUGUGCGAAAGACCACCAACAGCCCUCUUUUGACAGAGUAAGCUGCCUCCUGUUUCCCUCUGAAUGAGUCACCGUUCACAACAUGCCUCAUCCAGAGAUGCAACAAGGAACCUCUGCAGAGGGCCAGGGACAUUUUUAAAAAAUACUUACGAAACACAACACUCACCGCAAUGGCAAGGGUGACGGAAGCCAGCUCAACCUUGCCAAGAUGGCCACAGAAUAUUGUGCUGACGACAUGGAUCAUAAACACAAGCAACUGGACGAUUGUCUAAGGAGGGGGGAAAUGGCAGAAAAUUUGGAUAUAGCUUUUAAAACCAUCAUCGCGAAUUGUGCUGGAAAGACUUUAUGGAGCCGGUGGAAAUCCUGGAAAACUGGAGCAGCAUCAAUUUGAAAGUUAAGCAGUGAUCCAAGCUGGCCUAUAUUUGGAUUCAAUGGACUUUGCCACACCUGAGCAGCGAGACAGCUCAGAUCGAAGGUCUCGGGAGCAAGGUAACAAGAGUUAGGCUGCUUACCUCUCUGGCAAUUUCACUGUCGCCAACCAGGCUUUUGGGAGUCAACCCCAACAUUGGCCAAAACAAAGACAAAAGAUGGCAGAUACAAAUUUCAGAGCGGAACGGGAAGAUAAAGCUAGCCUUAAAACCAGGCUCACGCCAGGGUCUUGCCGGCACAGAAAAUUGGCACAUUAGGCCGCACUGUACCAAUUCAAAGUAAAACACACACACACACACCCGCCACAAAUAAUUCUGGGAACUGUAGUUUAGCCAUUACAGAGCUACGAUUCCCAGCACCCUUAAACUACAGUUCCCAGGAUUCUUGAAGGGGGGAAGGGAACGUGCUUUAAAUGUAGGGUGUGCGCUCAGCCUCUCACAGACUUGGGGGGGGGUCUUACCAGCGGACCGGCCAGCACCAAGAUCUUCUUUGCCUCUUCCCAGAAGUUGGAAGGAAUCAGCCGGCAUAAUUCCCUACAGCAAUGGGGGACUGCGGUCUGCGGAUCAGCGGCUGAAUCACUGAGGGAUGGCUUCUUGCCGACGGGGGUCCCAAACUCCAUAAGUAGAAAGGGACCCUCUCUCUUUUUUAGUUUUUAAAGAACGGGAUCAAGACAGAUUUAUUUGUCUGACCCAACUGGGCACCUUUCAAACCACGGCAGAAUGAACUUCACCCAGGUCUGGAUAGUCAGAGCUCCUUGUCCUUACGAUUUUGGGCAAAGGGUGAUGAUUAAAGUAUCUCCAGUCCAGAGCCAAUAGAACGUGAAGGAGCGGCCCCUGUUUGGGCCAGUCUGCUGUGAGAGAGAGCUGCAGGAGGCUGGCUCCGAGAGCCUGGGACCCGUCCAAAAUAACCUUCACAAGUAUAUAUAAGGCCUUAAUGCCAAAUCAGACCCACCGUCUGUCAAGAGUAAUAGUGCUCCAUGACGGGACUGCUCUCAAGUGCCGGAACUUGGAGCCCAAGUCAGAGCAAGGGGCUAGCCCUCAUGGCUGCGACGAAUCGGGGCCAGGCCCCCAAGUGAAAUAUCAGAAGCUGGGGGUGGUGUGGUGGUGGAACAGAUGACAGCCAGCAUAGAGGAGAGAAUUCUGACCCCCUCCCUGUGUAUAACAGAGCUGGAAAGAAAUAUAUAAAAAUGUGCUCAUUUUGUAAUUAAUAUAUAUAGUAAUUUAUAAUGCAUUAUAUUUAUUUAUUUGUGUGUCUUUCCCAGCCCUAGCUGGAGAUGCCAUUGGGGACUGAAGCUGGGAGCUUUUGCAUGCAAAGGAACUGCUCUAACACGGAGCCCCUUCUCUUCCCUUACAAAUAAAGCAAGCUU